rnacentral:rRNA from 1 species
CAAUAAGCGGAGGAAAAGAAACCAACCGGGAUUACCUCAGUAACGGCGAGUGAAGCGGUAACAGCUCAAAUUUGAAAUCUGGCCUCGGCCCGAGUUGUAAUUUGUAGAAGAUGCUUCGGGUGUGGCUCCGGUCUAAGUUCCUUGGAACAGGACGUCAUAGAGGGUGAGAAUCCCGUAUGUGACUGGGUGCCUCCGCCUGUGUGAAGCUCUUUCGACGAGUCGAGUUGUUUGGGAAUGCAGCUCAAAAUGGGUGGUAUAUUUCAUCUAAAGCUAAAUAUUGGCCAGAGACCGAUAGCGCACAAGUAGAGUGAUCGAAAGAUGAAAAGCACUUUGGAAAGAGAGUUAAACAGUACGUGAAAUUGUUGAAAGGGAAGCGUUUGCAACCAGACUUGCGCGCUGCCGAUCAUCCGGUGUUCUCACCGGUGCACUCGGUUGCGUUCAGGCCAGCAUCGGUUUGGGUGGCUGGAUAAAGGCCUUGGGAAUGUAGCUUCUUUCGGGGAGUGUUAUAGCCCUGGGUGCAAUGCAGCCUACCUGGACCGAGG